UGUGGCUGUCAUCAAUCAGAUGGAAA
rnacentral:piRNA from 1 species